rnacentral:lncRNA from 1 species
CCUUAACUUGGCAUGAUAUUUCAUCUAGCUCCCUUAACUCCAAAGUGUGCAUCAACUCCAACUCCAUGUACGGUCUCAAGGUAAACAAUCUAGGCCACAACAAGCUUACAUGAACCAUCCCACUGGAGAUCGGCAACCUUGUGAGUCUUCAACAGCCUGCACACUGGAAACAAUACAGGGGGAAGAAAUACCACCUCGCAUAAAGAUUUCCUAGUGAACAACUAGUCAGUUAAGUCGAGCCAUCGAGAACCUGCUUAGUUUGUUGUUUGAGAUAAACCUGAACAUGCCUUUCAGUUUUUUCUCUUACGGCUUUGCCCGCUUUUCCCACUCUAUGUGCCCUUGUAUGCAUAGUUCUAUUUCUUCUUAGUCUGCAAACAGAAACGGUAAUGCAUCUUUUUCCUUUGCAUAAGAGUGACAGAGGGGGAAAAUAGCACAACAAAAAUAGUCAGAUGUUGAUGACAUGCAAGUCACAAUGCAUUGACAAGAGAAUUGACCAGUGAAAGCUACUUUCUUGAUUAGCUUAUGUAUCCUCAGUUUGACAGUACACUUGGAAACGGGGACAAGUAGCGUUCACAAAAGAAAAGACACAAGAGACAACCGAUACUAAUUAAGUUCAAGAACUGAAGAAGACCUCUUUGACGAGACAAUGCAAAUCAGUUUCCAAGAAACUUCCUGCAUGAAUUAUUGAGCAACUUGCCUUGCACCCAUCAAUCUAUAUAACAUAGAGAAGAACAGUACACUUGUCUACUGGAAUCAGAAAGAAGGGAGCAAAAACAGCCUUGGUAAAAAUAUGGUAGCUGCAGGUUUCCCCAUGCUUGUUCUUCU